AACGAGAGUUUGAUCCUGGCUCAGGACGAACGCUGGCGGCGUGCCUAAUACAUGCAAGUAGAACGCUUUUUACUUUAGCUUGCUAGAGUAGAAGGAGUUGCGAACGGGUGAGUAACGCGUAGGUAACCUACCUACUAGCGGGGGAUAACUAUUGGAAACGAUAGCUAAUACCGCAUAAGAGUUUUUAACACAUGUUAGAAGCUUGAAAGAUGCAAAUGCAUCACUAGUAGAUGGACCUGCGUUGUAUUAGCUAGUUGGUGGGGUAAAGGCCUACCAAGGCGACGAUACAUAGCCGACCUGAGAGGGUGAACGGCCACACUGGGACUGAGACACGGCCCAGACUCCUACGGGAGGCAGCAGUAGGGAAUCUUCGGCAAUGGGGGCAACCCUGACCGAGCAACGCCGCGUGAGUGAAGAAGGUUUUCGGAUCGUAA
rnacentral:rRNA from 1 species